GCGCCAUUGGCCCAGUGGUUAGGGUACCGCCUUCCCAGUCCUUCUGGAAUAAGGCGGGGAUCGGGAGUUCGAACCUCUCAUGGCGCA
rnacentral:tRNA from 1 species